GUUCCUCAAGGAAAUCAAAGAUGGGCUUGAAGUGAUGAAGGUAAGAAGAUGGAUAAUAGUAAGGGAAAACAACCCGUUGGCAACUCAACAGUUAAUCUUAAAGGGUCGGCCACUUGUCAGAGCACUAUUAAGUGUUUCAAGUGCUUUGGACUAGGGCAUAUUACAUCCUAAUAUCUCAAUCAAUGUGCUAUGAUUAUCCUAGAUGAUGGAGAUAUCAUCAAUGACUAUGAAAACAGUAACAAGCAGGAAGAUCUGCCGCUAGUGGACACAGGUCGAGAAAGUAUAGGUCAACUAAUACAAGG
rnacentral:lncRNA from 1 species